AGAGUUUGAUCAUGGCUCAGAACGAACGCUGGCGGCGUGGAUAAGACAUGCAAGUCGAACGGGAUAUUGGUAGCAAUACCGAUGUUCAGUGGCGUAAGGGUGCGUAACACGUGGGUUACCUGCCGAGAAGUGGGGGGAUAGCUCGCCGAAAGGGAAUUAAUACCGCAUAGUACAUUUGUUAAAGCCGGGGCAACCUGGCGCUUCUUGAGGGGCCCGCGGCCUAUCAGCUAGUUGGUGAGGUAUCGGCUUACCAAGGCUAUGACGGGUAGCUGGUCUGAGAGGACGACCAGCCACACUGGAACUGAGACACGGUCCAGACACCUACGGGUGGCAGCAGUCGAGAAUUUUUCUCAAUGGGGGAAACCCUGAAGGAGCGACGCCGCGUGGAGGAUGAAGGUCUUCGGAUUGUAAACUCCUGUCAUUGAAGAACAAAAUACGUAAGUUAACUGCUUAUGUGUCGAUAGUAUUCGAAGAGGAAGGGACGGCUAACUCUGUGCCAGCAGCCGCGGUAAUACAGAGGUCCCAAGCGUUGUUCGGAUUCAUUGGGCGUAAAGGGAGCGUAGGUGGUCGGGUAAGUCAGAUGUCAAAUUUCGACGCUCAACGUCGAAUCGCAUUUGAUACUGCCUGGCUAGAGGAAUUGAGAGGAGGCCGGAAUUCACGGUGUAGCAGAAAUGCGUAGAUAUCGUGAGGAAGACCAACGGCGAAAGCAGGCCUCUGGAAAUCUCCUGACACUGAGGCUCGAAGGCCAGGGGAGCAAACGGGAUUAGAUACCCUAGUAGUCC
rnacentral:rRNA from 1 species